rnacentral:rRNA from 1 species
GACAGAGGAUGCAAGCGUUAUCCGGAAUGAUUGGGCGUAAAGCGUCUGUAGGUGGCUUUUUAAGUCCGCCGUCAAAUCCCAGGGCUCAACCCUGGACAGGCGGUGGAAACUACCAAGCUGGAGUACGGUAGGGGCAGAGGGAAUUUCCGGUGGAGCGGUGAAAUGCGUAGAGAUUUGGAGGAACACCAGUGGCGAAGGCGACUAUCUGGUCUGUAACUGACACUGAGGCGCGAAAGCGUGGGGAGCAAACAGG